rnacentral:misc_RNA from 1 species
AAGUCGUAACAAGGUUUCCGUAGGUGAACCUGCGGAAGGAUCAUUAACACUCCAAAACUUCUCAUAGCUCUGGGAAACCAGAGUUUAUGAAACCCUAUUCACAUUAGCGAACCCGGCUGGAUGAGAAAAGUUGAAAUGUUUCUUGUCUUAGCUAUUUUCUUUUGUCCAUUUAACUUUUUUAACCCCAAUCAUCAUAACAUUUCUUUGACUGACUGGAAGAACGUAACAACCUCUUCCGUUGCUCUUUGCUCUAACCAGUAAAGGCAAUGAAAACUACAAAAACAAAAACAAAAAAACAACUCUUAGCAACGGAUAUCUUGGUUCUC